rnacentral:rRNA from 1 species
AGACAAUAGAUACCCAGGUAGUCCUGGCCCUCAACGUUGCUCGCUCGUUUUACGGAGUAUCGACCCUCUGUGAGACUAAAGCUAACGCGGUAAGCGAGCCGCCUGGGUAGUACGAUCGCAAGAUUAAAACUCAAAGGAAUAGACGGGGACUCGCACAAGCAGUGGAUUAUGCGGCUUAAUUCGUCGGUAAACGAAGAACCUUACCAAGGUUAGAAACCCAACUGCAUCCGACCUGAAAGGGACGGAGCCUUCGAGGGUGUUGGGCAGGUGAUGCAUGGUCGUCGUCAGUUCGUGGUUUGAACUGUUCCCUUCAGUGGGAUAACGAACGCAACCCCGUCGUCUGUUGUC